rnacentral:rRNA from 1 species
CGGAACGGGUGAGUAAUACAUCGGAACGUGCCCUGUAUGGGGGAGUAACUAGUCGAAAGAUUAGCUAAUACCGCAUACGACCUGAGGGUGAAAGUGGGGGACCGCAAGGCCUCAUGCUAUAGGAGCGGCCGAUGUCUGAUUAGCUAGUUGGUGGGGUAAAGGCCUACCAAGGCGACGAUCAGUAGCUGGUCUGAGAGGACGAUCAGCCACACUGGGACUGAGACACGGCCCAGACUCCUACGGGAGGCAGCAGUA